rnacentral:rRNA from 1 species
AGCCAGAGCCAUAUCACCCUGAGGCCCAAGACCAGUUACUCACUGAAGCUAAGCAGGGCUGAGCCUGGUCAGUACCUGGAUGGGAGACCACUAGGGAACACUAGGUUGCUGUUGGAA